rnacentral:rRNA from 1 species
CUGCCUACGGGGGGCAGCAGUGGGGAAUAUUGCACAAUGGGGGAAACCCUGAUGCAGCAACGCCGCGUGAAGGAAGACGGUUUUCGGAUUGUAAACUUCUUUUCUUAGUGAAGAAGCAAGUGACGGUAGCUAAGGAAUAAGCAUCGGCUAACUACGUGCCAGCAGCCGCGGUAAUACGUAGGUGGCAAGCGUUAUCCGGAUUUACUGGGUGUAAAGGGCGUGUAGGCGGGAGAGCAAGUCAGACGUGAAAUUCCAGGGCUCAACCCUGGAACUGCGUUUGAAACUGUUCUUCUUGAGUGAUGGAG